rnacentral:rRNA from 1 species
GACGAACGCUGGCGGCGUGCUUAACACAUGCAAGUCGAACGGAAAGGCCCUGCUUUUGUGGGGUGCUCGAGUGGCGAACGGGUGAGUAACACGUGAGUAACCUGCCCUUGACUUUGGGAUAACUUCAGGAAACUGGGGCUAAUACCGGAUAGGAGCUCCUGCUGCAUGGUGGGGGUUGGAAAGUUUCGGCGGGUGGGGAUGGACUCGCGGCUUAUCAGCUUGUUGGUGGGGUAGGGGCUUACCAAGGCGUUGACGGGUAGCCGGCAUGAGAGGGUGAACGGCCACCUUGGGACUGAGAUACGGACCAGACUCCUAUGGGAGGCAGCAGUGGGGAAUAUUGUCCAAUGGGCGGAAGCCUGAUGCAGCAACGCCGCGUGCGGGAUGACGGCCUUCGGGUUGUAAACCGCUUUCGCCUGUGACGAAGCGUGAGUGACGGUAAUGGGUAAAGAAGCACCGGCUAACUACGUG